GCGUGAUGCUGAGUUGUUCAAUGGGCCGGAGGAGCUGGGGGCGGAGGAGGAGGACUCCGAAAGGGUAGAAGGUUCCACCUCAACAAACUGAGCUGGACUGGUUUCUCAGGAAAGACACACGGAACCAGUCCCGCAUAAGGCAUAAACCCGCAUGCCAACUCAGUUCUUUUCUACCAAGAGAAAUAGAGCUCUCCUUGGUCCAGGCAUGCUCGUGUGGGCGCUGCAGUUUGACCUGGGGCAAGCCCUCUAGCAUGGGUUCCUCGGCUGGAAGAUAGGCUGUGUGAGGCCGAAAUGCAACAAGAAGUGUAGCAAGACGCCUAGCACAGGAUGCAGACCCACAUAUGGGAGCUAUUAUUAGCUUCUCCCUGCAGGCGGAAGCGGAAUUGCACGCGGAGUGCAGGCUCGCUGGGAACCAGAGCGGGGGAGGUGGGUGAGAUAUGGAAUAAGCAGAAGAAAAAGAAAACUUGGUUUGCAUCUGGGUGGAAGCUAUUAAAGAUCAAACCACGGCAAGAAAUACUUUCUGCUGCUGCGUGGAAAAGAUCCGCCAUAUGUGCCCCUAAGAUCCUACCCACCUGAUCGUGGAGGAGUCCUGCGAUGGUCUUGGUUUUACAGAGGAGCUCUCCUGUCCCAGAUAAUGGUUUGGUUGUUUCUUAGAAGAACUUCUCUAAAGACCCAUCAACUCUUGAUGAAAAGGACACAGUAAUCCGUGCACUAAGAUUCUUCAAAUCCCUCGCCUCUAAGUCCUCACCUUGCUGUUUGUAUCAAUCCUGGACUCAUGCCUCCUAGCCAAGCUCCCACAUUGAUAGGCCCACCUUAAACCAAGCUUCCAAUUCUCAGUAAAUUCUUUUAUUUUUCCCGUCCUCGCCCCUCCUCCCACCCCACCCCCUGAUUCUGACCUUCCCCCUCCCUAUGAGACAUUGCGCAAGCUUUUUUU